rnacentral:misc_RNA from 1 species
CGCGGUUUUUUUUAAAAUGGAAGCUCAACUGUCAGUCUUUGGUAGAGUCACGAACCUAUACACGUCCGUAGGUGGAGUGGCUUAACUUUUGCAGACAGAAAUAAUGUUCCAUAAUGACAACUCUUGUUAGAGCAUCAUGCGAUUACAAACUAGUUUCAGAGAAAUGCACAGUAUGAGUCUAUCAGACCCGCGCUUACUGUGCACGAAGCCUGUUGCUACAGCUUACCAUCAAAACUUUCUGGAGCAAUGGUAGAAAAGGAAUCAGUCUGAAGCUGACACUGCUGAUGUACAGAUCUAAAAUAUCGAAAUGACUGCAGACUUCACGGUGGAAAACAGUAUCUACAAUAAAGUGUUACGUCAGUUCCUACCGCUUUUCCUAAUCGUGGGCCGAUGGCUGAUGCCUAAAGGGGACAUGACUCAUGAUCAGCUUUCGCAACUUCUGCUUAUCUACCUUGGACAGCAGCCGACAUCACGGAUUUCUACGACAGCCUAGCGUUAUCUGAUGUGAGGUGCUCGAAGGGUCUGACCUUCCUGGUGCUGGUGUUGUGGACCUGCAGCCUGAUGCAGUUUACUAUCUUCAUCAGGCCCAACCAGACGACAACCCAUCAGACGGGACUCCUAAAGGGGUAUCUGGGAGACGAUCUAAGUGACAACAUCCGGAAAGAAAUGCUCUGGGCCAUCACAACUAUCGGCAUGCAGGACCUGCCGUUCGUCGUAGCCCGUACAUACAUCCUUUUCCGCCACGCUACGUUCUCGCCAACCAACGUGUUCUACCUCUUUAAGAACAGCUGUAUCAUCGUCAUUCUGGUGUACCGCGUCGCCGUCGUCAAGAGCGAAUCGCACCGCAGAGAGCGCACGCGCAUAGAGGAGCUCGUCCGCGCACGUGCAGUGCUGUGCAGAAUGCGCCACAAGGACAGGGUGCACAUCGUCUGGGACAUGGACAUGCGCAGAAAGUCCAUCAAGCAGCUGUCGGAUAUGAUGCCUGUUAAGUCUUCGUCGCAGACGACAAAUGAAGACGACAGCGAAGACGACAAUAAUGACACGAGUGAAAGCUCGGAUGAAGAAAAAAAGGUUACAUAAUCGGAAAUGAGUCGGGUAUUCGAGCACUGCUCCGAUUUUCUGGUUAACUUUAUAGUUCGAGGUACGAUGUUCAUGUUAAAUAUCAAAAUACACGGUAGUGAUACAAAAUACACGGUGGUCUGAAAUUCGCUAGCAUUCAACACGAUUUCACAUAGCUUUACAUCACCAUGCAUGAUUUCACUGUAAUCGUUCCAGUACGCUAUAGGGUUUCAUGCAUGUGUAUGGAUGUUUUAUUGUAUGCGCGUCUUCACAAAAUGUGGGUACUCAUUUUUGAUAAGGACAUUCCAUAUAUGAUGCUACUUUUUCUACUUUAUUUGAAUAUAUGAGCCAUCUGUAAGUAUUGCUACAAGAACGUGCUAUAAUGUCACACUAGUUUCAAACUGUAUUUACCUAUUUGCUGAUAGGCAAAACAACUUGUGUUGAGGUUGUAACCUAUUUCCUGAUGGUGAUUAUUAGUGAUGUAGUUGUAUAUUUUGCGUAAUGUAUUAGUGAUGUAAAUUUAUUUUAAGCUUAUUCUUAAAUUUUCACAUUUCCCAUUGAAAUGGGAUUAAUAUAAGCCUACUGAGACCCCAGUAAGAGGUUACGGACUUUCUCUCAUUUGAUAUUCAGCAUGUAUACUGGCUUAACCACGAACCUUAUUGAUUCUGUACUUAAAGCACUUGAUAAGAGAAGCUAGUCUUCAGAAAUAUAAACACCACAAUAUAUUUUCAGCUGUUUUCUCAUCGAUUGCUGGACUGAGUUGUGACUGUCCUCCAGCUGAUAGGUAUUAGGGCUUAUUUCUGAUUUCACGCUGGCUGACGAG